UACGUAGGGACCGAGCGUUGUCCGGAAUCAUUGGGCGUAAAGAGCGUGUAGGCGGCCACUUAAGUCCUGCGUGAAAUCUUGCGGCUCAACCGCAAGCGGUCGUGGGAAACUGGGUGGCUAGAGUGCGGGAGAGGAGAGUGGAAUUCCUGGUGUAGCGGUGGAAUGCGCAGAUAUCAGGAGGAACACCGGUGGCGAAGGCGGUGGUCUGGGCCGGAACCGACGCUGAGGAGCGAAAGCGUGGGGAGCGAACAGG
rnacentral:rRNA from 1 species